rnacentral:lncRNA from 13 species
CGCGAGAGCGGUUCGGAGGUUGAGGGUGGCGGGAGGGGGUUCCUAAAGGAGGGACUUCAGCAGGCGGCCCAACGGUCGGCGGCCGCAACCCGGCCGGGAGCCGGCGCUGGCGCGACGACGUCAGAGGCCGACGUCCGCGCGCAGCGUGCGAAAGGAAAGGAAGGGAGGGGUGUGCGCAAAAUCGGGUUUGGGUUCCCGUAGGGAACGGUGGGCGUGGCUUGAGGAAGGACAUUUGUGAUUGGUGGGUUCUGCCGUGACCGGGAAGUUCGAACGGAAGUCUGGGGAAGAGCCGGCGAAGUGCCAAGACUUGAAGAACCGAGUACUACCAGCUGGAGCUAGCGGCAGUUGUGGCGCAUGCGCAGCAGCCCGGGUGGCCGCACGUCGCCGUUCAGCAAUAUGUAACGUAUAGACUUCUGCAUAUAUCAAGCUCCCUGUUUCUGUAGGUUCACUUGCGAUUUAUCUGGUCUUUCAGGACUUGAAAGGGAGACAGUCCCAAAGAUACCAAGUUCUCACUUUGUCACCCAGGCUGGAGUUCAGUGGCACAAUCUUGGCUCGCUACAAUCUCCACCUCCUGGGUUCAAGCAUUUCUCCUGCCUCAGCCUCCUGUAGCUGAGAUCACAGAUGGACAAGAAGAAUAAACAGAUGCUUUUGCAGCUCACAUUGGUUGGGAAGAUCUGGCACAAGUGAAGUACCUAUAAGGAGCAGCAGAGUCAAUGUGGUGAUCCCGUGGAUGAACAACUGAAACCUGAUAUACUUGACAGCAGAAAAUAAAAAGCAAAUUGAAAAGGAGAGAGUGUGGAGAUAAACAGGGAAAUGAAAGAACUGAUGAAGUCAUUGGGAUGGACUUAAAAAGCUGGGACUAUGUGAGGAGUUUAACUACUCUGCAGGAGAGUGGAUGUGAAGAGGAUCCUACCAAAGCCCAGCCUCCUUGUCAUCCACAUGAAGACACCGGACAAAUGAGUUUACGCUGUUUUGGACCCUCCCCACCAAGCACAACCCAGUCACCAGCUGAAUACCACCAAAUUACCUUCUAG